rnacentral:lncRNA from 1 species
UUCUAGCACUGGAUACCUGCUUUUCAAGUUCUAAAUGAAGACUGUCAUCAAUAAUGCCAUCUGGUUGUUCAGCCUUUUUCUUCAAGACCAUUUUCUUUAACAAAUCAGAAGGCUUCAUCUGCACAAGAUAGCGAUGUAGGAAAGUCUGGCUGAAGAUUCUCCAGGGGAAACAAAGAUCUAAAAUCAAUCCCCAUAUUGAAAAACACAGCUGCUACAUCAGACAAUGAUGG